CUACGGACUUAAUUGGAUUGAGCCUUGGUAUAGAAACUUACUAAGUAAUCACUUUCAAAUUCAGAGAAACCCUGGAAUGAACAAAAAUGGGCAAUCCUGAGCCAAAUCCUAUUUUCUGAAAACAAAUAAAGGUUCAGAAAAAAGGUUAGGUGUACAGACUCAAUGGGAGCUUUUCUAACAAAUGGAGUUAAAUGCGUUGGUAGAGGAAUCUUUUCAUCAAAAAUUUAGAAAGAAAAAG
rnacentral:ncRNA from 1 species